AGUGAACGCUGGCGGUAGGCCUAACACAUGCAAGUCGAACGGCAGCACAGUAAGAGCUUGCUCUUAUGGGUGGCGAGUGGCGGACGGGUGAGGAAUACAUCGCAAUCUACUUUUUCGUGGGGGAUAACGUAGGGAAACUUACGCUAAUACCGCAUACGACCUACGGGUGAAAGCAGGGGAUCUUCGGACCUUGCGCGAUUGAAUGAGCCGAUGUCGGAUUAGCUAGUUGGCGGGGUAAAGGCCCACCAAGGCGACGAUCCGUAGCUGGUCUGAGAGGAUGAUCAGCCACACUGGAACUGAGACACGGUCCAGACUCCUACGGGAGGCAGCAGUGGGGAAUAUUGGACAAUGGGCGCAAGCCUGAUCCAGCCAUACCGCGUGGGUGAAGAAGGCCUUCGGGUUGUAAAGCCCUUUUGUUGGGAAAGAAAAGCAGCAGGUUAAUACCCCGCUGUUCUGACGGUACCCAAAGAAUAAGUACCGGCUAACUUCGUG
rnacentral:rRNA from 1 species